AGAGUUUGAUCCUGGCUCAGGACGAACGCUGGCGGCGUGCUUAACACAUGCAAGUCGAACGAAGCUUGAUUACGGAUUCUUCGGAUGAAGUAUGAUAUGACUGAGUGGCGGACGGGUGAGUAACGCGUGAGUAACCUGCCCUUCAGAGGGGGAUAGCGUUUGGAAACGAACGGUAAUACCGCAUAAUGUAUUUUGACCGCAUGAUCGAAAUACCAAAGAUUUAUCGCUGAAGGAUGGACUCGCGUCUGAUUAGGUAGUUGGUGGGGUAACGGCCUACCAAGCCGACGAUCAGUAGCCGGACUGAGAGGUUGAUCGGCCACAUUGGGACUGAGACACGGCCCAGACUCCUACGGGAGGCAGCAGUGGGGAAUAUUGCACAAUGGGCGCAAGCCUGAUGCAGCAACGCCGCGUGAAGGAAGACGGUUUUCGGAUUGUAAACUUCUGUUCUUAGUGAAGAAUAAUGACGGUAGCUAAGGAGCAAGCCACGGCUAACUACGUGCCAGCAGCCGCGGUAAUACGUAGGUGGCAAGCGUUGUCCGGGAAUUACUGGGUGUAAAGGGAGCGCAGGCGGGUGAUCAAGUCAGCUGUGAAAACUACGGGCUUAACCCGUAGACUGCAGUUGAAACUGUUCAUCUUGAGUGAAGUAGAGGUUGGCGGAAUUCCGAGUGUAGCGGUGAAAUGCGUAGAUAUUCGGAGGAACACCGGUGGCGAAGGCGGCCAACUGGGCUUUAACUGACGCUGAGGCUCGAAAGUGUGGGGAGCAAACAGGAUUAGAUACCCUGGUAGUCCACACUGUAAACGAUGAUUGCUAGGUGUGGGGGGUCUGACCCCUUCCGUGCCGGAGCUAACGCAAUAAGCAAUCCACCUGGGGAGUACGACCGCAAGGUUGAAACUCAAAGGAAUUGACGGGGACCCGCACAAGCAGUGGAUUAUGUGGUUUAAUUCGAAGCAACGCGAAGAACCUUACCAGCACUUGACAUCCAACUAACGAAAUAGAGAUAUAUUAGGUGCCCUUCGGGGAAAGUUGAGACAGGUGGUGCAUGGUUGUCGUCAGCUCGUGUCGUGAGAUGUUGGGUUAAGUCCCGCAACGAGCGCAACCCUCGCCAUUAGUUGCUACGCAAGAGCACUCUAAUGGGACCGCUACCGACAAGGUGGAGGAAGGUGGGGACGACGUCAAAUCAUCAUGCCCCUUAUGUGCUGGGCUACACACGUAAUACAAUGGCCAUCAACAGAGAGAAGCAAUACCGCGAGGUGGAGCAAAACUUCAAAAAUGGUCUCAGUUCGGACUGCAGGCUGCAACCCGCCUGCACGAAGUUGGAAUUGCUAGUAAUCGUGGAUCAGCAUGCCACGGUGAAUACGUUCCCGGGUCUUGUACACACCGCCCGUC
rnacentral:rRNA from 1 species